rnacentral:rRNA from 1 species
GAUGAACGCUAGCGGCAGGCCUAACUCAUGCAAGUCGAGGGGUAACUAGAGUGACAGCAAUAUUACUUUGGCUAGACCGGCGCACGGGUGCGUAACACGUAUGCAACCUACCUUAUACUGGGGAAUAACUUCGAGAAAUCGGCGCUAAUACCCCAUACCAUUGCGAAGAGGCAUCUCUUUGCAAUUAAAGCUCCGUCGGUAUAAGAUGGGCAUGCGUCCAAUUAGCUAGUUGGUGAGGUAACGGCUCACCAAGGCUACGAUUGGUAGGGGUUCUGAGAGGAUGAUCCCCCACACUGGUACUGAGACACGGACCAGACUCCUACGGGAGGCAGCAGUGAGGAAUAUUGCGCAAUGGACGAAAGUCUGACGCAGCCAUGCCGCGUGCAGGAUGACGGCCCUAUGGGUUGUAAACUGCUUUUGUACGGGAAUAAACCCUUCUACGUGUAGGAGGCUGAAGGUACCGUAAGAAUAAGCACCGGCUAACUCCGUGCCAGCAGCCGCCGUAAGAC